rnacentral:rRNA from 1 species
UACGGAGGGAGCUAGCGUUGUUCGGAAUUACUGGGCGUAAAGGGCUCGUAGGCGGCCAACUAAGUCCGACGUGAAAUCCCAAGGCUUAACCUUGGAACUGCGUCGGAUACUGGAUGGCUUGAAUUCGGGAGAGGGAUGCAGAAUUCCAGGUGUAGCGGUGAAAUGCGUAGAUAUCUGGAGGAAUACCGGUGGCGAAGGCGGCAUCCUGGACCGACAUUGACGCUGAUGAGCGAAAGCUAGGGGAGCAAACGGG